CCGAGCGAGGGCCCCUGGCCCGACCUCCAACCCUUUUGACUAUUUACCUGUUGCCUCGGGGGCGACCCGGACGCCGACGCGUCGGCCGUCGGGCACCCCGGUGGACCAUCUCAACUCUGUGUCCGUGCGUCGGAGUACUUUGCAAAUCAAUUA
rnacentral:misc_RNA from 1 species